GGCCCUUUGCUUUUAAUGAAAGCGAUUCUUCCUACGCCCUGUACACGGGGCAAUCUGUCUCUCGGAACACAAAUCCACGCCCAGGUCGGCCGUGCCCACUCGUACAAACCCAGACGGUACAAUCCGGCGUCCGCAGAGAAAACCAGCGCCCCAGGGGCACCGGGGCGGGCAGUAACAGCUCUCAGGAGAUAGGCACCUAUGAAGAGGACAGCACUUGGGAGAGCUUAAGCAGAAGAGACCAAGCCUAAAGCAGCAUCUCAGAAGUCACAAUGAGUGAAGGGAGAACCUGACCCACUGCAGGAAGCCUACACCAGCUACCUAAACAGGUAAAUAACCAUCUUAACAACUGCCAGGAGACCGAUGGAAAGGUUCUGGUGGCAUCACAGGGCAUGCACUCUAAAAAACAGGACCUGGGUUUUUUCCUGUGGCUCUGAAGAAAAAGGAAUGCCAUAAGACAGACUCAUUGAAGGGAAUUUGUCAGCCAAGUACUACUGACACACAGAAAGCUAAACACUGAGGAUGUCCAUGACUAGAAUCAGUAAAUGUUUCCAGAGCCAGAUUUUCCACUGUGCUUUUGUGAUGAGAGAUGAGCAAAUCUUGGAAGCUGGCGGAAUAAACAGCAUGCAGGCAUCACUUGUCUACAAAAUGCAAAGAAGUCUCUCUGCAGAAUGCAACAUUAAUCCCUAAGCAGGAAAUUGUGUGAAACAGCAAAAUCUCACAGGGUCUUUCACAUAAAAUAAGUAAAAUUUGCAAACAAAUUAACUAGGAAUUAUUGUUUCAACAACAUGAAGGAUUAAAGGAUUUUUUUUCUCCUAUAUCUAGCUAAUAUUA